GUCACUCUGGCGAAGUGAAAGCCAAUAUCCUGGGCUAAAUUGGACAGAGACUGGGGCAACGUCCAGGUCUGGAGGUGGUAUCUGCGUGGGCGUGGUUCCCCUUCCUCGUUCUCCUGGCUCUCGGCUCCGCUCAUCCCGCGCACCUGUCUGCAAUCAGCUCAUCACUUCUACCAGUCUGCCUCUCAUCAGUUCACCAGCUUGCAGUGUAUCUACUCCGGCUCUUCAGCGGCUCUUUGCCAGAUUGUUGUUUCAACCACAGUGGAUCAUUACUCACCUGCCUGUCAACAACUUCCAAGAUGCCUGUAAUGCUGCCCCUCAUUCCUUCCCGCUCACUCCAGCCACACUCCUCCAUU